UACGUAGGGUCCGAGCGUUGUCCGGAAUUAUUGGGCGUAAAGAGCUCGUAGGCGGUUUGUCGCGUCUGCUGUGAAAACUGGAGGCUCAACCUCCAGCCUGCAGUGGGUACGGGCAGACUAGAGUGCGGUAGGGGAGAAUGGAAUUCCUGGUGUAGCGGUGAAAUGCGCAGAUAUCAGGAGGAACACCGAUGGCGAAGGCAGGUCUCUGGGCCACUACUGACGCUGAGAAGCGAAAGCAUGGGGAGCGAACAGG
rnacentral:rRNA from 1 species